ensembl:lncRNA
AUGGAAGUAGCUCGACAACAACAUCCGACCAUGUCAAAAAUCAUUAGCUAGUUAGCCAACCAAAUAUAUAUUCACGUUACCAGCAUAUGAAAAAUAUUCUCAAUAACUUGCUAGCUAGCUGACUCACUUUACUAUGAGGUGAAAAUGCUUGUUCUUGUUGCAUACUAACGUUAAUUGUCAUAAUCAUGUCGCUAGGUGCGUCAAGUAUGUGUCCCACUCAGAAAAGGACACUCUCGUGUCUGCUCGCAGGGCGUGUUGGGAAGAGGCCAAAGCAGAAGAAUGUACAGGAGCUGCAGGAGGCAGCAGUCCAGCUGCUGAACAGACACCAGAACCUCUCAGAUCUGUUUCUGGAGGUGGGGAGUCCAAAUCCUUGCAAUUUAAUUUGCAAGGAGUACUCUGGACAGCAAAAAGGAGCCAGUCAAAGUCCCUCACCUACAAUUGGGGGUUCACUUCUGGUGAAUGAGUUGAGGAGGAAGGCUGGGGAGCUGGGGGUCCCGGUGGCAGCCCUGUCAGUGAAGAUGGUGGUAGAAAGACUGUUGGACCUGACCGGCCAUAUCAAAGGGGACCGAGAGCAAGUGUUGCUCAAUUCCACUCAAAGGGUUUGUGCUGGGAAUAAUGUCUGGAUAUGCAUCUAUGUCGAUGUUUGUUGUCCCCCACAAUUAAAUUGGCCGUCAUUGUAAAUAAGAAUUUGUUCUUAACUGACUUGCCUAG